GACAGAGGGUGCAAGCGUUGUUCGGAAUCAUUGGGCGUAAAGGGCGUCUAGGCGGUCAUGUAAGUCUGAUGUGAAAUCCCAGGGCUCAACCCUGGAAGUGCAUCGGAUACUGCAUGACUAGAGUCCCGGAGAGGGUGGUGGAAUUCCUGGUGUAGAGGUGAAAUUCGUAGAUAUCAGGAGGAACACCCGUGGCGAAGGCGGCCACCUGGACGGUGACUGACGCUGAAGCGCGAAAGCGUGGGGAUCAAACAGG
rnacentral:rRNA from 1 species